GGGACCCCCUCUUGGAUGAGGCUGAGCAGUCAUUCAGGUUACUCAGGGACCUGGCAUGGUCCCGCCCACCUGGUGGAAAGCCUUCGUCCACUCCUGCCAGGUUCAGAAAAGGCCCAGCCCUGCCAGCCAAGAGUGCCUCUGUACCCCCACUCUUGCCCCACACUCCCCUGCUGUGACUCACACCAGGCCUUUCCCGGUGCCCUCCCCACGGUGGCCUCUAAAGCAGGAGACAGGGGCCCACGGUGAACUCUGGGGCUACAGAGGUGAGUUCAGGCCCAGACUGCAGGGCAGGUGGGGGAGAAACAGGAAGGCACCUGCCCCUGCCUGCCCCACAGUGGACCCGGGGCCAGCCCCCAAGCCAUGGCCGGCGGUGGGGAGGGGAGGCAUGUGGCUCUCGGGUUCCUCCCUCUCACCGUCCACAGCCACAACAUGGCCACCGGGCUCCAGGUGGCAGCUGCUGAGCCCAGCCAGUGUGCAUUCCCCUGCCUUCUCCCUGCAGGGCGUCCACACCCUUGCCGCCCCCAGGCCCGGGCCCUGCCCUUUCAGGCUGUGGUUUGGGGCCUUAUGAGUUGAAGCAAACGCCAGGCCCAGCUGCACUCCAUGGAAGAUGGGAGGCAGAGAUCAGGGCUGAUGGUGGCCCCCAACUGCCUGGCUGCAUAUCUCAAUGUCAAGGUCAGACGUGGCUUCUGCAGGAAGAUUCCAGGUCCCUGGGGCAGUGGCAGGCCCCUCACCCUGGGUGCCCUGUAUUCCGGGCCCACCUCCUCGACGAAGUGUGUGAGGGCUCCUGGUGGCAGAUGCUGCCCCUGAGAGCUGGGCAGUCCUGGAUAGAGGCAGGAUGGCAGAGCCAGGGAGAGGAGCGUGGGGACCACGGUGGAGGGGCGGCCACGGGCCCUCCGAGAGCUCUGGGACGGGAGGGACAGGCCUCUCAUCUGCUGUGGUCUGUGGAGGCUGCAGCCAGCUGGGCCAGGGCUUGGCCUGUACCUUCUAGAUCCGUGUGCCAUUGGCUAUGAGCACUGGGGGCCACCCCUAAGGUACCCACGGUGGCGGCAGCAGCGCCUACUAUGCAGAGUGGCCUUGAGAAAUGAGAAUCUGCGGCUCAGUGCCCGGCCUCCCAGUGCUCGCGGCUCAGCGAGUGUGAGAACCAUCUCCUCCUGU
rnacentral:lncRNA from 1 species